AGGUUUUCAAGAAAGAAACAUAGAAGAUGCUAGCACACAAAAUAGAGGGUCUAAAGGAUUACGUGGUGGCUUUGGACAAGGUUUUCAAAGAAGAAAUGCUGCAGAAGGUUCUAGUAUGCAUACAAAAAAUAAAGGGUUUAAAGGAUUUCAUGGUGACUUUGGACGAUGUGAGAAUGGGCAGAGGAACAUGUCUCAGUCUGGAAUUCUUGACUCUGCAGUAAAAGGAACAUUUACAGGUGGUGCAGGUAAGACUUUUUAAUAUUUAGGGGU